GACAGAGGAGCCAAGCGUUGUCCGGAUUGACUGGGCGUAAAGCGCACGCAGGCGGUCGCGCGCGUGGGGUGUGAAAUCUGGCCGCUUAACGGCCAGGCGCCAUCCCAUACGGCGCGACUGGAGUGAUGCAGAGGUCGAUGGAAUUGCCGGUGUAGUGGUGAAAUGCGUAGAGAUCGGGCAGGAACACCCCAGGGGGGAAACCAGUCGACUGGGCAUCUACUGACG
rnacentral:rRNA from 1 species